CCGCGUGGGGGAUGACGGCCUUCGGGUUGUAAACCCCUUUCAGUAGGGAAGAAGCGAGAGUGACGGUACCUGCAGAAGAAGCGCCGGCUAACUACGUGCCAGCAGCCGCGGUAAUACGUAGGGCGCAAGCGUUGUCCGGAAUUAUUGGGCGUAAAGAGCUUGUAGGUGGCUUGUCGCGUCUGCCGUGAAAACCCGAGGCUCAACCUCGGGCGUGCGGUGGGUACGGGCAGGCUAGAGUGUGGUAGGGGAGACUGGAACUCCUGGUGUAGCGGUGAAAUGCGCAGAUAUCAGGAAGAACACCGAUGGCGAAGGCAGGUCUCUGGGCCAUUACUGACACUGAGAAGCGAAAGCAUGGGUAGCGAACAGGAUUAGAUACCCUGGUAGUCCAUGCCGUAAACGUUGGGCACUAGGUGUGGGGGACAUUCCACGUUUUCCGCGCCGUAGCUAACGCAUUAAGUGCCCCGCCUGGGGAGUACGGCCGCAAGGCUAAAACUCAAAGGAAUUGACGGGGGCCCGCACAAGCGGCGGAGCAUGCUGAUUAAUUCGAUGCAACGCGAAGAACCUUACCAAGGCUUGACAUGCACUGGACGGCUGCAGAGAUGUGGCUUUCUUUGGACUGGUGCACAGGUGGUGCAUGGUUGUCGUCAGCUCGUGUCGUGAGAUGUUGGGUUAAGUCCCGCAACGAGCGCAACCCUUGUUCUAUGUUGCCAGCACGUGAUGGUGGGGACUCAUAGGAGACUGCCGGGGUCAACUCGGAGGAAGGUGGGGACGACGUCAAAUCAUCAUGCCCCUUAUGUCUUGGGCUUCAAGCAUGCUACAAUGG
rnacentral:rRNA from 1 species